AUGGAUCAGCCUCUCGUCAACCAUGUCAUCAAGAAACAGCGGGACAUGUAUGCCAACUACUACCUGGUCGUAUCAUCCGAUGACCAAAAGCUACUGAUGGUGCGGUGGAGGAGGAGCCGUACUGAUGUCUUCGUGUUGAAUCUGUGUGUGUUUGAGGCAGAUUUUGACAAGGGUCAUUGGUUGGAGGUGAGGGACUUGGGAGAACAGGUCCUCUUCGUCGGCAGGAAUUGCUCCAGGGCAUUUGCUGCAGGCCGAGCCUCGUCGGAGCACCAUGAUCAGAUAUUCCAAGGAGGUAACCGUGUGUUUAUUCUAGGCACCGAGUGGAAGCGGGCAUGA
rnacentral:rRNA from 1 species